AAUAGAUACCCGGGUAGUCCACGCCGUAAACUAUGGAUGCUAGCUGUGACACAUAUCGACCUGUGUCGUAGCGAAGUUAACGCGUUAAGCAUCCCGCCUGGGGAGUACGGUCGCAAGAUUAAAACUCAAAGGAAUUGACGGGGACCCGCACAAGCGGUGGAGCGUGUUGUUUAAUUCGAUGGUAAGCGAAGAACCUUACCCAGGUUUGACAUCCCGAGAAGGCUUCCGAAAGGAAACUGUGCUUUAUUGAACUCGGUGACAGGUGAUGCAUGGCCGUCGUCAGCUCGUGUCGUGAGAUGUAUGGUUAAGUCCAUUAACGAGCGCAACCCUUAUGUUUAGUUGGAUUUUUCUAAACAGACUGCCCUGGUAACAGGGAGGAAGGAGGGGAUGAUGUCAGGUCAGUAUUUCCCUUACAUCUGGGGCUACAAACACGCUACAAUGGCCGGUACAAAGGGCAGCCAACCGCAAGGGGGAGCUAAUCCCAUCAAAGCCGGUCUCAGUUCGGAUUGCAGGCUGAAACUCGCCUGCAUGAAG
rnacentral:rRNA from 1 species